CGCAUAAAUAGAAAUAGAGAGGCGACGAAAUGCAGAGAGGCGGCGAGGACACACAGACAGAAGCAGAGAAAGACAAUGAAAUAGAGAGAGGAUGAGGCUGCGACACGGAGAAAUAAACAGAGAAAGAGGCAGAACGGUGAACACCGCAUCGAUUGGGCACAAGAAAUAGAGAGAUAAAUCGUGUUUUUAAACUUUCUGAUUUCAUACAGAGACGUUUUUCAUUCUAUUUUUUCCCCGAAAUAAGGAGGAAGGAAGAUGAAGCGGCCUUCAGCAUAAGCACGAAAAACCCAUUUCCCAAGAACUCUCGAUAUCAGACCAUUCUUUCUCGAAACUAGAGAGCAAACGUCAGAGAGAAAUCCAGUCAGAAAUAGAAAGUGGAAAGCGGAAAAAACUAAGAAGAUAGUCAAUGCCUCUACCUCCAUCAGAUCCGUACUCUCCACUGGUAUGGUUUCUGUUUUUUGGUUCUUUAAAUUUGGGGUCAAAUAUGCUUUAGGUUUGGGUAUUUUCGUUAGAUUGGAUUGAAUUCAGGUUUUGACUUAGAUUCAAUUUUGAGUAAGGAAUUUGGUUUAUAAUGUUUUUAAUAUCAGUUAUCUAUCUUAGAUUUGGUUUUUUGGGAUAUUUGGGUUCAAUUUAUUUUGGGUGUAUGUCUUUGGUCUUCAGAUCUUCAUGGAUCAAUUUGGUGCUGUACCUCAACAAAAAAGUUAUCAUCCUCUAUUUCCAUUCGUUCACAUGUUCUGCAUAACGUUGUUAAUUUUCCUGUUUCAGAUAUUCUUUCUGUGUACUUUACCAAAUUCAGCCCACUUUCUUUCCAUUUGCAUGUUCCUUUCUAGAAAAUCGAAAUUCGCAAACCAAUUUUGCCUCUUCAAAAUUUCCAAAAAUGCAAAUUUUUAUUUUUUAUUUUUUAUUUUAUUUUAUUUUAUUUUUUUUUUAUAUCUUUCAUUGAACAAAUAUUGAUCCUUGGCUUACCAUAGAAAAAAAAGGUUAUUAUGCCUUCUAGAAUAAUUGCUAGAGAGAGAGGGUCACUGAGUUAUUUGGCUUAGUAGAGAGAAAAAUCUGUAGACCACUGUCAUUGUCAGGCCAUUCUCCCGCCACUGUACGACUUAAAAAAUUCAAUGAUGGGGUUAUUCGACAAUGAAUUGGGCCACAAUAGAUUUUAUUGGUAAGAUCAUAUACAUAUUCAAAUCCUGCAAUAUGUGUUUAGUUGUUUGCUGUUGUACCUAUGAUGUUACUAAAUUGGACCCAAUUUGAAUUUUUGGGUUUCUUUGACUGCAGAUAAAAAUUUGCACUGUUCUACAUAUUUGUUUUUAUUGCAUUCCACAUGUUCGAUGAAAUCCCUCUUAGACUAAAUUUUAUAAACAAUUAUUCUUUUUUCCUUCUAUAAUGAUUUUAAUCAGAUAAGAAUGAUCUUAUUUUGUAGUUAAUAUUUUCAAUUGUAGAUUAGGAGCUGCAUACUAAAGAAUUAUGUUCUUCCAUCCUUUAUAAAGACAAACCAUGUCAUUGUUUAUGACAUUAGUAAUAAAACCAAUCGAUUGAUAUUGAUAUUAAUUCAAAUGUUAUAAAUACUGCCUUACCUUAUGCCAAUAGUAAGCUAGAAGUUCAGUUGUUAUUUUUUUGUAAAUUCUUGCAAUCAUGGACCAACAAAAUUAGUGAUCAGCUAUUUGCUCCAAAGUUAACAUUGAUAGUAUUAUUGAUGUGUAGGUGUAGAAAAAAGUUUUAAACACCCAAAAGUAGAUAUGGUAGGCAAGAUUACCAUCAUGCAAUUGUUGUUGAAAAGCUGCCAAACUUAAAUCCCUUUGGCUAAGAAAGCUGAGAGUUAUGACACAAACAUGAGUUAUGAAAACAAGUUUGAGUGAUUGCUUACAUGUGAAGAGUAUUAAAAUAAAACAAUGCUUGAGUGGGUUACCUAAGACUAGAUCUCAGAAUUUAGUAAAAAAAAGAGUGCUAAUUUUGAAAAAAAAUUGAGCAUAUGAGAAAAAAUGAUGAGGUGUUUGGCUCAGAUAUUGUGGCUGUGAUUUACUUAUUUGUUCACAGUCAAGAUUGUCCAAUAUAUUUUAGAAGAAAGAAAGUAUAGAAAAGACAAAGACAGGCUGAAUGUCAAAGGGUUCAAGUGAGGUUUGACAUGCAUUGUAAAACAGGUGGUGAAGAUUAGCUCUUUUUUGUAGGAUUUCUAGAUGUUUCUUGCAUGUUUAUAAAGCUUGCCAAGGUGGUGAAGGAAAAUUUUUAAUUAUUCAAGUAGGAAGUAAUUUUUGCUAUAAAUGGGUGUUAAUUUUGAAUGGAGUUUCAAUGUAAAGAAGACAUGUCUGUAGUUGGGUAUGAAAAUAAUGAUGAUGGUGGUGGCAACAAUGUUCCCUCAUCAAGUAGUUUUUUCUUCUUAUUAUUGCAAUUUUUUACUGAAAGCACUGUUUUUCACCCUCAAAAAAAUAUGAUUGUGAUUUUUUUUUUCCCAGCUAGCCUGGAUUCCUUAUGUUAAUACUUACAUAUCAUUCAUGUUGGGCUGGCUGUGUUUGGUUUCUGAAAUAUUGGAGUAAUGUAAUGUACUAUUGGAUUGGUUUUGAUUAAGGGAUUUGGGUUAGAAUUCAUUUUGUUUUGGGUUAUUAACCAAAUCCAAGUUGGUUUAGGUUGUAAUGAAACUGUAAGUGGUAUGUCAGUAUAGACUUUUUUAAUAUUAAAUAAUCACAUAAGAACUUUUGCGGUGGAAUAUAGACUCAACAAGUCUAUGUGCUUAGUGCUUUGUACCUUAAGUGACCAAAUAGUGAUCACCUUAAUUUUUACUAAAUAAUUAAGUAUAAUCCUCACAUGAAGCUUUUGUGUGUGUGUGUGUGUUUCUUUUGGGCAAUAAAAUAUAUUUUACU